rnacentral:lncRNA from 1 species
AGCUAAUCAACAUAAACUUGGCAAAUUCAAGAUACUGUAAACGAAAAUCUAAAGGUCUAACUGUAUUCUUGACACACUUAAUUUAAAUACAACAAUUUGAGAUACAUUGAAGAGCCCAGUCACGUUUUAACAAACUGAAAAUAGCUACUGCAUUUUGGAGUACGAAUCUGGGCUAUAGAAUCAGCCCAGUAACAUGAAACUUUGAAGAUACUACUAGUGCAAUCUCAAGUGGAGUUCUAUAUGAACAAAGAAAAACAAUUGCUAAUGAAUCGACAACCCAUUGGUCCUGAAAUAAAUUACAAAGUUUCACUGAUAGAAUUUCAAAUCUAUGCUUUAAUUACAACAACUUUCCAAGAGAGAUCAUUCCUGGCACAUUACUUCCAUCCUUUUCGCACUUUUCAAGUUUACAAUAAGAUAGCCACUGAGCUACUCUUGUAACCGAGAUCUGCCAAACGAACUCUCAAGUGAGAAGAUGGCAUCAAAACUAGCUUAAUAAACAGGAAUAUCACUUAGGAUAAAGUACUUCAUUUUAGAAAGAUAAACCAAUGUUAAUACUAUGAAUCCUAUCAGCCAAUAAUACUUAAUUUGGACUUUUCUAUAGAGCAUGACAAGAAUUCAUCAAAAGAAAAAAAACAAAAUAUCUAGACAGAUUAAAUCACUAACACACGAUGGUUUGUAUUUUUAUUUAACAGAUAACAGUGCAAUAUUACAGGUGAGCAUAGACAUACCUAGCUGCAGAAAAGCCAACCAAAUGACCAAAUAAAGGUCUAAAUAUGAAAGAGAAAAGUUCAGCUACGAGCGAGCAGAACCAGCAAUUUCCAGCAACAGAAAAACAGCAUCAAGACCAAAAUAAAACCCAAAAGCCCAAAGCUGGAGCUUGGUCACAGCAGAAUGAAUAAAAAAAACAAAGUAAAGACUUCUUUGACUCAAACAAAUAUGGAAAAUCCAGGAAAACAAACAACCACUGAGUAUAAACUUAGAAAAACAAAUUUUCUUCUUCUCUGGCUUUUCUGUAUCUAAGUUUAAAUUCACAUUGCCAUUUUUUUUUUGGAAAAUCAAUGAGUAUCUAGAGUGUGUGUUCUUCGGUGUAUUUGAGAGGAAUGCUCAGUGCCUUUUUCGUGUGUGUGAAGAGUGUAUAUAUGCUGAAUGCUGAAUGAAAGAGGGUCUGUCAGAAAAAUAAUAUUCAGCGUGAAUUUAGGGAGUGUCAAAGGGGAAAGGAAUAUUUUGCAACUGAAAAUGCCAGCUGUUACUUCUAGAAGCAGACUCUCUGCUUAAAUCUGGGCUAAGUGCCAUGGCCAAAUGGCCCAAGACAGGCCCAAUCCGGCUUCAAUAGGGAAAAUCCCAAAAUACAACAAAUGUCAUAUUUUGAACUCCAAUUAUAAUCAGGGAUUUUACUAAAUGCCAACUUUAAAUUAAUCUAAAUCAGUUUAUUAGUUAAACUAAUUGAGCAUGCAAUUAAAAGUGAAACUUAAUGAACAAUCCAAAAAGAAAAGAAAGAGAGAAAGAAAAACAUAAUAAGAACAGGGAAUAAAAGAACACUAAUUUAAUCCUUAAAGGAGUGAGAGAACGAAGCAAACCGGCGAGCAAACGGAGAUGAUGAAUUAUGGCCGUCAAAAAUGAGUUGAUCGGACUCCAGUUAUAUUUCGAAAUGUAUCAAAAUUAACCCAAAACGAUUGCUCUUGUCAAGAGCAAUCGAUUCGUGUGAGAUUCAAACCAAAACGAACAACCAUUACUGCAGAAGUCAACAAAUAUGUGAAACUAGAUUUUUUCUCUAAUUUCAUAUCUGGGAUUGGAUGAAUUCAAGUGGGUUUUGGGGGAUAAAACUAAGAGAUUAAGAGUGAGGGGAAUGUGGGGAUUGUAUGGUGUUAGAUUAGGGUUGUUUGGAGCUCCGGUCGCCGGUGAGGUGGGUUGGGAAUUUUUAGGGCUAGGUUUUGGAGAUGAGGGAGAUGAAGAAGAAAUGAAAGUAGUCUU